UCCAGCCAUGCCGCGUGCAGGAUGAAGGCCUUCGGGUUGUAAACUGCUUUUGUACGGAACGAAACGGUCUUUUCUAAUACAGAAGGCUAAUGACGGUACCGUAAGAAUAAGCACCGGCUAACUACGUGCCAGCAGCCGCGGUAAUACGUAGGGUGCAAGCGUUAAUCGGAAUUACUGGGCGUAAAGCGUGCGCAGGCGGUUAUGUAAGACAGUUGUGAAAUCCCCGGGCUCAACCUGGGAACUGCAUCUGUGACUGCAUAGCUAGAGUACGGUAGAGGGGGAUGGAAUUCCGCGUGUAGCAGUGAAAUGCGUAGAUAUGCGGAGGAACACCGAUGGCGAAGGCAAUCCCCUGGACCUGUACUGACGCUCAUGCACGAAAGCGUGGGGAGCAAACAGGAUUAGAUACCCUGGUAGUCCACGCCCUAAACGAUGUCAACUGGUUGUUGGGUCUUCACUGACUCAGUAACGAAGCUAACGCGUGAAGUGACCGCCCUGGGG
rnacentral:rRNA from 1 species